CAUGUAGGCGGUUGCUUAAGUCGGACGUGAAAGCUCCUGGCUCAACUGGGAGAGGUCGUUCGAAACUAGGCAACUCGAGGAUGGCAGAGGAGAGUGGAAUUCCCGGUGUAGUGGUGAAAUGCGUAGAUAUCGGGAGGAACACCAGUGGCGAAGGCGGCUCUCUGGGCCAUUCCUGACGCUGAGAUGCGAAAAGCUAGGGGAGAGAACG
rnacentral:rRNA from 1 species